rnacentral:rRNA from 1 species
AGCAGUCGCCGCGGUAAUACGGAGGGUGCAAGCGUUAAUCGGAAUUACUGGGCGUAAAGCGCACGCAGGCGGUCUGACAAGUCAGAUGUGAAAUCCCCGGGCUUAACCUGGGAACUGCAUUUGAAACUGUCAGGCUGGAGUCUUGUAGAGGGGGGUGGAAUUCCAGGUGUAGCGGUGAAAUGCGUAGAGAUCUGGAGGAAUACCGGUGGCGAAGGCGGCCCCUGGACAAAGACUGACGCUCAGGUGCGAAAGCGUGGGGAGCAAACAGGAUUAGAUACCCGAGUAGUCCCUGUCUCUUAUACA